UACGUAGGGGGCAAGCGUUGUCCGGAAUUAUUGGGCGUAAAGAGCGCGUAGGCGGUCCGAUAAGUCGGCUGUGAAAGUCCAGGGCUCAACCCUGGAAAGCCGGCCGAUACUGUCGGACUAGAGUCCGGAAGAGGCAAGUGGAAUUCCCGGUGUAGCGGUGAAAUGCGCAGAUAUCGGGAGGAACACCAAUUGCGAAGGCAGCUUGCUGGGACGGUACUGACGCUGAGACGCGAAAGCGUGGGGAGCGAACAGG
rnacentral:rRNA from 1 species